AGUGAACGCUGGCGGUAGGCCUAACACAUGCAAGUCGAACGGCAGCACAGUAAGAGCUUGCUCUUACGGGUGGCGAGUGGCGUACGGGUGAGGAAUACAUCGGAAUCUACUUUUUCGUGGGGGAUAACGUAGGGAAACUUACGCUAAUACCGCAUACGACCUACGGGUGAAAGCAGGGGAUCUUCGGACCUUGCGCGAUUGAAUGAGCCGAUGUCGGAUUAGCUAGUUGGCGGGGUAAAGGCCCACCAAGGCGACGAUCCGUAGCUGGUCUGAGAGGAUGAUCAGCCACACUGGAACUGAGACACGGUCCAGACUCCUACAGGAGGCAGCAGUGGGGAAUAUUGGACAAUGGGCGCAAGCCUGAUCCAGCCAUACCGCGUGGGUGAAGAAGGCCUUCGGGUUGUAAAGCCCUUUUGUUGGGAAAGAAAAGCAGCAGGUUAAUACCCCGCUGUUCUGACGGUACCCAAAGAAUAAGCGCCGGCUAACUUCGUG
rnacentral:rRNA from 1 species